GACGAACGCUGGCGGCGUGCCUAAUACAUGCAAGUCGAGCGGACCGGAUUGGGGCUUGCCUUGAUUCGGUCAGCGGCGGACGGGUGAGUAACACGUGGGCAACCUGCCCGCAAGACCGGGAUAACUCCGGGAAACCGGAGCUAAUACCGGAUAACACCGAAGACCGCAUGGUCUUCGGUUGAAAGGCGGCCUUUGGGCUGUCACUUGCGGAUGGGCCCGCGGCGCAUUAGCUAGUUGGUGAGGUAACGGCUCACCAAGGCGACGAUGCGUAGCCGGCCUGAGAGGGUGACCGGCCACACUGGGACUGAGACACGGCCCAGACUCCUACGGGAGGCAGCAGUAGGGAAUCUUCCGCAAUGGGCGAAAGCCUGACGGAGCGACGCCGCGUGAGCGAAGAAGGCCUUCGGGUCGUAAAGCUCUGUUGUGAGGGACGAAGGAGCGCCGUUCGAAGAGGGCGGCGCGGUGACGGUACCUCACGAGAAAGCCCCGGCUAACUACGUGCCAGCAGCCGCCGUAA
rnacentral:rRNA from 1 species